rnacentral:lncRNA from 1 species
AGGAGUAUCUGCAGAGGGAACCCUGAGGUGAUUGGCAUCAACCAUGUGGGGUGAAGUUGCCUGGCUGCUUGACCUUUGUGGGCUGCCAUGAGUGACUGGUUUAACAGUACCAAUACGGCAACCCAGGCUCACUGGGGGUGGCCUCCACCCAGAGGCCCGAUCGCCAAUACUACGGAGACGCAACAACAUGUGCCCUUAUAGCCACUACCUGUUGUGCCUAUUGGAGGAUUUCUUGAGCACAGGAGUUCAAGACCAGCCUGGAUAACAUAAUGAG